rnacentral:rRNA from 1 species
UUAAAUAGCUCGUAGUUGGAUUUCUGUAGUGGGAUGCCGGCCGGGUUCUCUGAACUUGUAGCUAGGUUAUCUUGCUGCAUCUUGUCGUAAUUCUUACUGGCAUUAAUUUGUUGGUACAGAGGACCGACUCGUUUACUUUGAGAAAAUUAGAGUGUUUAAAGCAGGCUAUAGCUUUGAAUAUGUUAGCAUGGAAUAAUAAUAUAGGACUUUACGUUCUAUUUUGUUGGUUGUUCGAGGACGUAAGUAAUGAUUGAUAGGGACAGUUGGGGGCAUCAGUAUUCUGAAGCGAGAGGUGAAAUUCUUGGACCUUCGGAAGACUAACAACUGCGAAAGCAUUUGCCUAGGAUGUUCUCUUUAAUCAAGAACGAAGGUUGGGGGAUCGAAGACGAUCAGAUACCGUCGCCAGUCUCAACUAUA